UAUAGCAUUCGGUAGCUCGUCAGGCUCAUAACCUGAAGGCCGCAGGUUCAAAUCCUGC
rnacentral:tRNA from 1 species